UACGUAGGGUGCAAGCGUUAAUCGGAAUUACUGGGCGUAAAGCGUGCGCAGGCGGUUCCGCAAGUUAGAUGUGAAAUCCCCGGGCUCAACCUGGGAACUGCAUUUGAAACUACGGAGCUAGAGUGUGUCAGAGGGGGGUGGAAUUCCACGUGUAGCAGUGAAAUGCGUAGAGAUGUGGAGGAACACCAAUGGCGAAGGCAGCCCCCUGGGAUGACACUGACGCUCAUGCACGAAAGCGUGGGGAGCAAACAGG
rnacentral:rRNA from 1 species